rnacentral:lncRNA from 1 species
GGGGGGUUAUUUUGCUAGUUGUAGUGUUAUGCUCUCCAGGACUAGGGGGGGUUAUUUUGCUAGUUGUAGUGUUAUGCUCUCCAGGACUAGGGGGGGUUAUUUUGCUAGUUGUAGUGUUAUGCUCUCCAGGACUAGGGGGGUUAUUUUGCUAGUUGUAGUGUUAUGCUCUCCAGGACUAGGGUUAGUUGUGUUGCUAGUUGUAGUGUUAUGGUCUCCAGGACUAGGGGUGGUUGUGUUGCUAGUUGUAGUGUUAUGCUCUCCAGGACUAGGGGUGGUUGUGUUGCUAGUUGUAGUGUUAUGCUCUCCAGGACUAGGGGUGGUUGUGUUGCUAGUUGUAGUGUUUUUGUCAGGACUAGUGGUGGUGGUUGUGAGGGUAUGACUACUUGUGAUGUUGCCAGAUGAAGUAAUUGCUGUAGAUGUAGUUGCAUCCCCAGCCCAUCCUGAACGGCUAGCCGUACUAUCUAAGGCAGCUACGGUUGCUGUGGUACGUGCCACAAGAGGUAGUGUGGCUUUUAUUGGAAGUUGACCU